CUAGAACCAAGUUGUGUGGCUAGGUAUUAUGCUGAUGCUAGAGAGGUAGAGGGGUUCAACAGGAGCGACAUGGGAUCACAUGCGUGCACCCUCACAUUAACACAAUGUGCUGCAUUGCUAGUGUAUUGUGCUCGAUGUGUUCUCAGGUCGCCCCUGCAGUACCUUCUUUUACCGCAUGAUUGAAGUGCCAUAGAUUUGGUAGUACGGUGAAGAUGGACUGGUGAUGCAGCAGGCUUUUUUGUGUGUGGCCAAAUCCUUACAGCAGACUUGAUGGCAAGUAGCUCUUCUUCCCCAACUUUCUUCCAGACCCCGCCUAUCAUGAGAUGACCACUGACAUCUUCUGUGGAUAAAACAUGCUCACUAUCUGAUACACAGCCAUCCUCUGUUUCCCUCAACUUCUUAACACAUCGGUUAUCUAGUAGCUGUAUAUCGGAACUAGCUUCUCUCUUGCCACUACACUGGUUCAAUUCCCAGUUCUCUUUUCUUCCUAGUAACUGAGAAACCUUUUCUGGGACAGUAUCGAAGUCCAGAACGGGAAGGCAACCAGAAGACCCAACAGCUCGAGGCAACAUUCCAAUUGGACACGGAUUCCAUGAUUUUGCCAGAACCCAUCUGUUAGUAUUUCCGGCAUCACCAUCUGUUCUCUUCACUACUUUGCUCUUCAUUUUGCGCUGUUUAAUCAUCUCUAGCUUCUCUGAUGCUUCACUUAUAGAUUCGUCUUCGUUCUUAAAUACAUUAGUUGAAUGUUUAAGAGAAUUAUCUUCUUCAGUAACAUCCAAAUUUGAUGAAACUAAUGAAGAGAGUUUGUUCAGUUUUCCCAAUAGGUAGUUGUCCCCAGUCAGUUGUGCAAGAUGGACGGCAGAAUCCAUGAGCUGGUUAUUAGCAGAAGCUGAUAGAACAAGGCAUUUACGUAGGAGUUCCAUCAGAAUUGCCUUCGAUAUCGUUUUUUCUCCUGAAGAAACUUUGAUCUCAGGUGCAGAAUCUUUUUCAAGAUGAGGCUUUAAUCCUUCAAAAUUCCCAACUAGCCACUUAAACAGAGAAGAGAGGUGUUCAACUUGGAGUAUCUCUGCCCUAUGGUCUGAUGAUGUGCGAACCCCUCCUAAACAAAUUCACAAAAGCAGCAACUACGAUCACUGACCCAUGUCCAGUAUUAAAAAUCAGUCCAGUUGAAACCAAGUAAAUAUAAUUAGAUUUCAUGCACACUCACCGUAAGUUUACCAGUAUAUAUCUAAAUACGGAGCAACUAAGAGCAUUCACAAUGGGCUCCCUAAACCACCUCCUUAGACAAAUUUUAGGGAUGAAUUGGAAAAAUACAACUCCAACCAUGCUCCAUAUCCACCUCCUAAAAUAUGGAGACCUCUAGGAGCUCCUAAAUUUGAGGAAAGAGAAAGGACUCCUAGUAGCUCUCUAUAGUUUAAUGUUUCUUUGUUUUAUGCAUAGUUUAAACUUUUAAUUAAUGUUAACUAUAUAUAUAUAUAUAUAUAUAUAUAAUUUUUUAGAGAUUGACCAUUCAUAUUGAAUUAAAAAAUAACUAAAAUAUUUAUGACUCCCUAAACUAGGGAGUAUGAUUGGAGUUCAAAUUUUAUAGAAAGUGCCUAAAAUAACUUUUCUGUGUUUUUAGCUGAAUUUUAACUUAAAAAUAGAAAGCAUGAUUGUAGAUGCUCUAAUACAUAGCAAAAUCAGGUCAUUUGAUUACCUGUCUCAAAUAGCACUGCUUCCUGAGUCUCAAUCAUAUCAAGAGCUGCAUUCAGGAGAGCCAGAAGUAACUCUGGUUCCUUAUUUGAAAAUUUUGUUAUCACAAGCUUCCACUCAUUCAAUGAAAUAUGUAGGCUCGGGCCUUUUUGGGUGUUUACUGGAAGCUUCGAGGAAUCUGAGAUACUUAUAGCAUUCAACAAGAUCUCCAACAGUACAGAAACAACUUCUGAGGAGAAGGAAGCAUACAACCCUACAAGACUUUUCAAUAUCUUGGUAAGGUCUUUCUUGGAACCUGAGAAGAAAGUACCUCAAUCAACAUAUAAAACAUCCAAGAAUUUAAAGACAUCCUUCAAAAGUUAGCUGACAGAUUGAGAUCCUCUCUAUUUGCUUUCAAAUGGACAUCCAAUCAUGCUUAAGAUGGCUGUCAAUAUAUACUACAAAAAAAAAAAAAAAACAGCGACUUUCUCUGAAACUGAUACCAUCAUACCAAUAUGACAUGAAAUUAUUAAAAGACAUAUCCUUCAAACAUUAGAGCACA